AAUCUGAUAGGCUGUCUCCGCCUUCCCUCCCUCCCUGACGCGAGAACCGCCUGCGCAGCGCUGGGAUUGGGCGGGCCCAACUGUCAAUCAAGCCCUCGCUGGCUUCGGCGUGAGCUGAGGCUGCGCGCCAAGGAGAGAGCGAGCCGAGAAGGCGACAGGCGCAGGCCUCGCGCGGACUCUAGUCGUUUUUGCUCGCCGGGCUACGGUAGCAGGUUACUUUGGGCCUUCUCCUCAGCACAGCAAAAGCGACUGCGUCCCUAGUUCAGCCCCAGCUGCUCUGAGAGAGUCAUCCUGAUUUCUGCACCUGAAGAGACAGCGGAAGUCUCAGGGACGGGGAUUGAGAAGGGAAAAGUAAAAAGACCUGAAAAUGGAGACCUGACAGAAAAAAUCAAAACUCAAACCAACCAUGAGAAUCACCCCUGUCAAUUAGUGCUGAGUGGACCAGGGACUAACCAGAAUCAGAUGACAACAAAAUUUAGACACUUAAACCCUUUUGAAAAGUCUCUCAGGAUACCAUGUCAUAAUCAAUUUUCUGCUAGACUGUGAUUGGUGCCUGUGUCUUUUUCAGAGUACAUCAACAGUGCCUCUUCUGUCCUGAAUGCCAACUCUGUGCAGCCCGUUAUCCAGUGAAACAUUAGAUCAUUGAGGAACUCCUCUGCUUGUCUGGCCUGUCAUUUGGAUUCUGUGCUGACCAAGCUUGCCCAGAAUUGUCAGAACAACCCAAGAUCAGCAUCCUUGCAAAUUUCUUAGAUUGAGAGAACUUUAAAUUGAGGUACAUCAUUGAAGAACUUUCAAUCUAUAAUUAGGAAAGCCCUUGAAUCCCAUUCCUCAUACCUUCUUAUAAAGCAGAUUCUGAACAGUCCAGCAAGAAAUAAAUAAGACUAAACACCUAAUAAUUACCACAAUAAGUGAACAUAUAGAAGAAAACAAAACAUAACAAUUCAUUGUGCAUUUAAAGGGGAUAAUACUUGAGGCUGAAUUCUGAUCUUUAUAUUCACAAUAUUGACCAGCAAGAAACUGAUAUUUGCCUGAAAAAUCAGCAGCAUAGGAAAUCCUUCAUUCUGACCAUUCUUGGUUGUGAGAAAUAUAAUUUACUUUGAGUCUGAGAAAUGGCAAGUUUGUUGCAUUUUGGAAUCUGGUUCUGGUAUCCUGAUCCUGAUAAUUCAGCCCUUAGGUAGAGCUUGGUUCUGUAUUACAGUAGCAAUAGUAAUCUUUGUUUCCAGAGCUACCUUCUGAUACUGCCAAUCAUCCCACAAAUGUGUAUUCUCAAUUUUAAGACUCAAGGAGAGAAUGUGGAUUGAUCAAUCCAAAUUCACCAUCAUUGCUGUACUUUGUUGGUGACAGGUCAGUGUGACAUCUUCUGUGAGGAUCACCCCCUAUAGUGUUCACAGAUGCACAACAGUACCAGAAUUGGAGGAUAGCUCACACAUUCUAGGCUAGAAUUGAUUUGGGACACAAUAGACUGAAUAAUGAGCUCUUUGGCACAUUAGCUAAAAUCAGCUUAAAAGAGGAAUAUUUAGAUGAGAAUGAAACCUUAUUCAGGGCUGAAAAGCUGAAGUUGCCCAACAAGGUAUAAGUCAUGGCUGCUUUGAUGGAGCUGAGUUAGGCUGAAGCUAGAGGUAUGACUAGCUGGGUUGGGAUGAAGACUACUUAGAUGAACUAGGAAAGGCAAUGGUUCCUGGAAUCCAUAGCAAGCCUAUCUAGAAGGAGCAAGGAAGAAUGUGAUCCAAGUGGGUUAAAAGGAGUUGGGUUAAGAUGGAUUGUGGGAAAAUGAGAGAAAGGCCUGAGGAUUUUGCUGGGGUAUAUCAGUCUGAGUUAAAGGAAAGUAGGAAAUUACAGCUAGGGUACUUGGAGAUGAAAUGAGGUAUGGUGAGAGAUCUGAUGGGCUGGGUAUAGGUUGGGUAUGGAGGCAGAAAGAAGAGGGAGAGGGGUACCAAAUAGGAGGCCUAGUCUAGCUUUGAGCAGGAGACUCAGCUAAGGUAGAAAGCUAGGGAAGAGAUAACUGGGGUUAUCAGCAGUGCAGGAGCUGCUAGAGACAACAGCUGGCUCUGAAAGUGACAAAGAAAAGAGUCAAAUAUACAAGAAUAGAAGGUGGAAAAGGAAAAGGGGUAGAAGAGGGCACGUACGGAUGAGAGUUACCAGUCUGGUUAGAAGUAGGGUAAACGUUCUGUUUUGCCGUCAGUUUAGAAGCAACUGGGCCUGUUGCUGUGUAGGCAAAAUCAAUAUGAGAAGCCUGGCUCCUCUAUAUUCAAUGGUGCUUAAUGACUUUAGUAGACUGUGAUGAAUAUGCAUGCCAGGAAAGGAAAAUGUUAACCAAGGUUGACAAAAAGUCUUAUGCGGCAGUUUUCAAGCAAGCAGGUUGAUUUGGCUUGUGUGAAGGCGAUGAUGCCUGAUUUGGAACAGAGCAAUUUCUGUUGUACCAUUUUAAAAUCCAUUCUGGCACACUAUGAUGUAUGUGUCAGCUGGCAGCUAAGAACUUGCUGGAAUGCAGGCAUUUUUCACCAUUUAUAAUCAACACUUCCCCUUCCAGGAAUGAGUUUCUAAUCUCUGAAGCACUGGACUUAUCAAUUUGCAUAAAAUAUCCCAUUCACAAUGAACACAGAUUUAUCAUCUACCACUUAUUUUCCUACUGGUUUUGUUUUGUUUUGUUUUUUAAAGCAGAAUUGGUUUGUAAUGAAUCCACACCUUUAAGUUUGGUGAAGUGCUAGGUGAGUGGCAGGGAGCCAUCACUAGAAGGGAGAGGGGCAAAAUAAAAUCCUUUUCUAUUUCCAUGAUUGUUUUUUAUACAGUCUAAAAGGUUAAGUCACAAAUUUGAUAAGAUGCCAAGUAAAUGUAAAACGGUGUUCUGAUUACUUAUAAAAGUUGUACUUACUGGUUGCUUAACCUUUACUUAACUCUCAUGAGAGAGGAUUAAACAAUCCUGCUGAGUUCAAAGAAGUCAGCUAACCCCCCAAACUUGCGCUAGUCAUUGAACAAAAAAGUUACACCCAGAAUCAAUUGAGUCUAGACUCACAUCACCCAAAUAGUAUAUACACCAGCUGCUCACAUUUGCCCUGUUUUUGCUGGUUUAUUCACAAGAAAGCCAAGCCUGAAAUCCCCCUUGAGGCCAAGACAUAUUGAAAUGGCAAAUGAAUUCAACAAGUUUCAAAUUCGGUUUAACUUAAUCAUAACUGAUUCUUCACACUAUAGCUAUCAGUCCAUUUCAUUAAAAUCAGAUGAGAUAAAACAAUAAGGAGUGGUGAACAGAUACCACUUUGUUUCAGACCAAACUGUAAGUUAAAUUUCAAAUGAAACUUGACAACACUUGAUUGGUUAAGUGAUAUACCUAGAUUUAUUAAAAUUACUCGACUUCUUUAAUGUUUCUUAGAGAACAAGCAUACACAUAUAUACAAUGCUACUCCAAAGUUGAAAGGAGAUUUUAUAAAGUCCCAUCAUUGCCAGAGGCAUUGUAUAUGAAGACAAGCAUAGUACAACUCAUCUCAAGAGUUAAUUUUAUCAGCAAUAUGUACCAAAAUUUUAAAUGUGUGAAUGUUUUGACCCAGCAAUGCCACGCCCAAGAAUAUAUCUUAAGGAAAUAGCUAGUAAAGUACAUCCAGAUGGCAUAGCUUUCUUUACAUGAUGAAAGAUUGAAAAUCAUUGUUCUUUAAUGGAGGACAGUUUAAAUAAAAAAAAAAUCAAUGCAAUAUUUUGCAGUCAUCAAAAACAAUAAUGUACUUAUUAUAUGUUGACAUAAAAGUCUUCAUGUCAUGUUGCUAAGUAAAAACAAAGGUGUAAAAGAUAAU